GCCGACAUGGCUCAAUGGUAAAGCAUCCCCUUGGUAAGGGGAAGAUCGUGAGUUCGAUUCUCACUGUCGGCU
rnacentral:tRNA from 1 species